GCGCUUUCGUUUUCUUUUCUCCAAUACAAGACCUAUUCUGCCGCAAUCCUCUCUUAUAAGUCACGACUUUUAUUCUCUUUGGUUAUAUAUAAUAUAUUUCUUCUCUAUUUCUUUAUUUUGACCAAAAAUGUUCUAUGCGUUUAUGGAUACAAUGUCUCAAUAAGUUUUACAUCACAGGUGGUCCAAGAAACCGACUUUUGCUUGGUAAGGAAUUUAAUUCACUACGUGAAAAUUUGAUUUAACAAUUAUAAUGAUUUGGGAUUCCGAUUUUACUUUUAAUCUUUUUCAGAUUUGGUGUAUAUUUUCAUAUUUUCAAUUAUAAACUUAUUGAUACAGGGUACAAGAGAAGAAGAUAGGGAAGAGAGAGGAGAAGAUCACGGUGGUGCAAUGGAGGCCAAUUCACAAUAAGAGGUCGAGAGUCGAAACAAUGACAAAAUGACAGGUUGAUCAAGAAAACAACUGCUUAGGAUGACUUUAGGGUGCUAGAGAAUCGAUCCUUUUUUCCAUCGUUUGCUAGGGAAUUUAUAGGAGAUCUCCUCUUAUCUGUUAGUAUGAUGUGCUAAGAUAUACGUUCAGUCUCGCUAAAUGCGUAAAAUAUAAUCAUGGACGUGUAUCAUGGAGAUUUAUUAAUAUAGGAUUCUUUUACCUAAACAGACUCCUUAUUGUCUUGAAUGUGCAUUUUCACUAGGAGUUAAAUAGACUCCCACAUGAUGAAAAAAAAAGUAAAAGGUCUCGAGAAGAAAAUGAUCCUAUUUGACCACUGUACAUUGCUAGUAUCAGGAAAUGAAAUAAUCGCGAAUCUUGAGUAACUGGCCAAGCCGCCAAAGUCGCUAAAGUGGUGAUAAAUCCUGUUAGUAAAAUGAGCCCUACAGAAAGUCCAUCUAUUCCCAAUCUCCAG
rnacentral:lncRNA from 1 species